rnacentral:rRNA from 1 species
CCCCUAGAUGUUCUGGGCCGCACGCGCGCUACACUGAACAGUUCAACAAGUCUUAACCUUGGCCGAUAGGUCUGGGUAAUCUUUGAACGCUGUUCGUGAUUGGGAUAGACCUUUGCAAUUAUGGGUCUUCAACGAGGAAUUCCUAGUAAACGCAAGUCAUCAGCUUGCAUUGAUUACGUCCCUGCCCUUUGUACACGCCGCCCGUCGCACCUACCGAUUGAAUGGUCCGGUGAAAUCUCGGGACGGCGGCUUGGUCGCUUGCGUCCGACUGCUGAAACUUGAUUAAACCAUAUCAUUUAGAGGAAGGUGAANUCGUANCA